AUUGAACGCUGGCGGCAUGCCUUACACAUGCAAGUCGAACGGUAGAGGGGGCAACCCCCUUGAGAGUGGCGAACGGGUGAGUAAUAUAUCGGAACGUGCCCAGUCGUGGGGAUAACGUAGCGAAAGUUACGCUAAUACCGCAUACGAUCUAAGGAUGAAAGCGGGGGACUCGCAAGAGCCUCGCGCGAUUGGAGCGGCCGAUAUCAGAUUAGGUAGUUGUGGGGUAAAGGCUCACCAAGCCAACGAUCUGUAGCUGGUCUGAGAGGACGACCAGCCACACUGGAACUGAGACACGGUCCAGACUCCUACGGGAGGCAGCAGU
rnacentral:rRNA from 1 species